AAUGAACGCUGGCGGCAGGCCUAAACAUGCAAGUCGAACGCUGUAGCAAUACAGAGUGGCGCACGGGUGAGUAACAUGUGGGAAUAUGCCUAUUGGUACGGAACAACGUUUGGAAACGAACGCUAAUACCGUAUGGUCCCUUCGGGGUAAAGAUUUAUCGCCAAUAGAUUAGCCCGCACUAGAUUAGCUAGUUGGUGAGGUAAGAGCUCACCAAGCCGACGAUCGGUAGCUGGUCUGAGAGGAUGAUCAGCCACACUGGGACUGAGAUACGGCCCAGACUCCUACGGGAGGCAGCAGUGGGGAAUAUUGGACAAUGGGGGCAACCCUGAUCCAGCAAUGCCGCGUGAGUGAUGAAGGCCUUAGGGUUGUAAAGCUUCUUUUGCCAGGGAAGAUGAUGACUGUACCUGGAGAAUAAGCCCCGGCUAAACUUCGUAGCCAG
rnacentral:rRNA from 1 species